GACGAACGCUGGCGGCGUGCUUAACACAUGCAAGUCGAGCGGUAAGGCCCUUUCGGGGGUACGACGAGCGGCGAACGGGUAGGAGUAACACGUGGGUGGACCUCGCCCUCCAGCUCUGGGAGUAAAGCCUGGGAAACCGGGGUACGUAAUACCGGAUAUGACUCCAUGACGCAUGUUGUGGGGUGGAAAGCCUUGUGCGGCUGAGGAUGGGCCCGCGGCCUAUCAGCUUGUUGGUGGGGUGAGGCCUACCAAGGCGACGACGGGUAGCCGGCCUGAGA
rnacentral:rRNA from 1 species